UACGUAGGGGGCUAGCGUUGUCCGGAAUCAUUGGGCGUAAAGCGCGUGUAGGCGGCCCUGUAAGUCCGCUGUGAAAGUCGGGGGCUCAACCCUCGAAUGCCGGUGGAUACUGUCGGGCUAGAGUGCGGAAGAGGCGAGUGGAAUUCCUGGUGUAGCGGUGAAAUGCGCAGAUAUCAGGAGGAACACCAAUUGCGAAGGCAGCUCGCUGGGACGUAACUGACGCUGAGACGCGAAAGCGUGGGGAGCAAACAGG
rnacentral:rRNA from 1 species